GGGGAUGUGGCUUGGUGGUAGAGCACUUGCCUAGCAUGUUCAAGGACCUGGGUUCAAUCCCUAGCAUCACAA
rnacentral:tRNA from 1 species